ensembl:misc_RNA Gm27838 predicted gene, 27838
GGCGGAGCGGAGAGGGCGGGGCCAAAGGGGAGGGGCUGCGCGGGUCACGUGACAUCGUUUGACUGUUUACAGGAGGCGCAGCGGAGCCCUUGGCCUCAGUCAGUCAGGCGCUGGGGAGCGUUUCGGUU